ensembl:lncRNA
GAGUCCCCCGGCCCACCCUGGCCGCGGCACUGCCCUAGCCACCUUCCGUCUUCCCACACCAGGCUCCGGCCCGGCCACCCUAUUCCUUUACGAGCCGAGCCUCCAGCCACGGCCUCCGGUCCCUGGUCUCUGCCGCGAACGUGAAGGCAGGACCCCUGGGACGCUCCACGUGCGCGCUCGCCUUCUCGGUCCCAGCCCCUGCGUUUGUUCUUCCCGUUUUAAGGUCUCAUCUGGAAGGUGAAUCAUCUUCUGAAGAAGAGGACCAGAAUAAUGCAAGGGACGGGGUAUCAGCAGUAGAGGAAAGCAGCGACCAGAGAAAUGAAGAAGCUGAGGGUCCUACAGAGCAUUCCAGAAGGGAAAUUGAAAAUGACGGGGAAGUCACAGCCCAGGGGGAGGGUGAAGACGAUGAAGCUGAAAUCCAAGGGGUAAUGGAUUCGGAAGAGGAAUUUGAAUCUGAGGGGAAAUUAGAAUCUGAUAUGGAAGGCAUGGCCCCUGGAGGGAAAGUCAGUUCUUCAGAUCUGGCUUCCUCAAGCUUCGGUCCUGGGGAGGUGCCCGGAGAUGGAGUCGGCCCCCCAUACCCGCCUGAAAGAGCAAGGAAGAAAUCUCAUCUCGAAGACGGAGCGGCCCCACGCUCAUCCACAUCCAGAGGAGCGGGGGUCAUCUCCACAGAGCUCUCCCAGCAAGUGCCAGGCUCAUCUGAGCAAAUGGACCAGGAGUCAGUAAGUAGCCAGGGGUUUGCUUUACAUUCUGCUUUACUGCUCGUUUGACUCGCCACCCUAUGUGAGGAACUCAGAGCACACUGUAAACAAUUCAUACUGCAAGCCCUGCUGGAAACGCCUUAGCAGACUCAGGUCUCAGGAUCCACCAUCACGUGCCAAGAGUUUCUGGAACCCACUUCGGUGUCCCCAAAGCCAAGUUGGGAACAUGUCCUCGUAAGGACAUCCAGCUGUCCAAUCUCUAGAGGAGUACUGUCCAGUAAAACUCUGCCUGAUGUUGGGAAGGCUGUCUGAGGUGGUAGCCAUGUGUCAUUUAUGGCCAUGGAGCACUUGAAAUGUGGCCAGGGAGAGAGAGGAACUGAAUUUUUAAUUUUUUAAAGAUUCUAAUUAAUUUGAAUUUAUAUAACCAACUGUUACAAGUGGUUACAACUGGACAGUGCACUUCUAGAUAAUAAUAACAAGAGCUACUUCUUAUAAUUUUCAUUUUUUUACUUUUAAGCAAGGAUAGACUUAUAGGGACAUUGGCGUGCCAUAAGAACUUUCAGUUUUUUGAAGCAUUUUGGAGUAAUCUGCUCCAUUGCCUCCCAUUGCUUCCAUGUACGUUUCCCACAGACAACCACGCAACAGCUAUCACCAAUUACCAAGUAAUCUUCAGGCCACUUUCACCGACUGUCCCAAUGGUGUCUUUUACACUUCAUAGUCUCCUGAUGACUUCAGCUGCCCCAUCUCUGUGCUCUUCUCAAUCUGUCCUUGACAUUAAUGACCUUGGCACUUUCUUUCUUUCUUUUUUUUUUUUUUUUUUUUUUUGCUUUUUAGGGCCGUACCUGUGGCACAUGGAAGUUCCCAGGCUAGGGGUGGAAUCGGAGCUGUAGCCGCCAGCCUACACCACAGCCACAGCAACGCCAGAUCUGAGCUGUGUCUGCAACCUACACCACAGCUCAUGGCAAUGCCGGAUCCUGACCCACUGAGUCAGGCCAGGGAUCAAACCCACAUCCUUAUGGAUGCUAGUUAGAUUCAUUUCCGCUAUGCCACAGGGGGAACUCCGACCUUG